rnacentral:ncRNA from 1 species
GUAAGGGGGCGACGGUUCUCUUACAGGGAGUGACUGAAUAAACUUACUGGCAUUUUGCUAGUUAAGGUGAUGAGUCAGAGGUGGUGCUCGCUGUUGGCAACGACAGAAUCGUCUUACCAGACGGGACUCAGGCAGGCAAGUCUUUCUAACUGUAGAAAUGCCCUUGUCUUGUUGGUAUACAGGAAUCCAACCUCCCACCCC